rnacentral:rRNA from 1 species
GACGAACGCUGGCGGCGUGCCUAAUACAUGCAAGUAGAACGCUGAAGGAGGAGCUUGCUCUUCUGGAUGAGUUGCGAACGGGUGAGUAACGCGUAGGUAACCUGCCUGGUAGCGGGGGAUAACUAUUGGAAACGAUAGCUAAUACCGCAUAACAGUAGAUGUUGCAUGACAUUUGCUUAAAAGUUGCAAUUGCACCACUACCAGAUGGACCUGCGUUGUAUUAGCUAGUUGGUGGGGUAACGGCUCACCAAGGCGACGAUACAUAGCCGACCUGAGAGGGUGAUCGGCCACACUGGGACUGAGACACGGCCCAGACUCCUACGGGAGGCAGCAGUAGGGAAUCUUCGGCAAUGGACGGAAGUCUGACCGAGCAACGCCGCGGGAGUGAAGAAGGUUUUCGGAUCGUAAAGCUCUGUUGUAAGAGAAGAACGAGUGUGAGAGUGGAAAGUUCACACUGUGACGGUAUCUUACCAGAAAGGGACGGCUAACUACGUG